GCGGCAGCAAGGAGCGCAGUAGCCCGCCUCUCCCACCGCAGCCCGCCCGCUUGCCGGCCCGCCGCCACCCGGCGCGAUGGCGGGGAGCAGCUCGCUGGAGGCGGUGCGGAGGAAGAUUCGGAGCCUGCAGGAGCAGGCGGCCGCCGCGGAGGAGCGCGCGGGCAGCCUGCAGCGCGAACUGGACUACGAGAGGAAGCUGAGGGAGACCGCUGAAGCCGACGUAGCUUUUCUAAACAGACGCAUCCAGCUGGUUGAGGAAGAGUUGGAUCGUGCCCAGGAGCGUCUGGCAACAGCUCUGCAGAAGCUGGAGGAGGCCGAGAAGGCAGCAGAUGAAAGUGAGAGUGGCAUGAAAGUCAUUGAGAGCCGAGCCCAAAAGGAUGAGGAGAAAAUGGAGAUUCAGGAGAUCCAGCUGAAAGAGGCCAAGCACAUUGCUGAGGAUGCCGACCGCAAGUAUGAAGAGGUGGCCCGUAAGCUGGUCAUCAUUGAGAGUGACCUGGAGCGUGCAGAGGAGCGGGCUGAGCUCUCAGAAGGCCAAGUUCGACAGCUGGAAGAACAAUUAAGAAUAAUGGAUCAGACCUUGAAAGCAUUAAUGGCUGCAGAGGAUAAGUACUCACAGAAGGAAGACAAAUAUGAGGAAGAGAUCAAGGUCCUUUCUGACAAGCUGAAGGAGGCUGAGACUCGGGCUGAGUUUGCAGAGAGGUCAGUAACUAAAUUGGAGAAAAGCAUUGAUGACUUGGAAGAGAAAGUGGCUCAUGCCAAAGAAGAAAACCUUAGUAUGCACCAGAUGCUGGAUCAGACUUUACUGGAGUUAAACAACAUGUGAAAACCUCCUUAGCUGCGACCACAUUCUUUCAUGUUGUUUUUAUUUUUUUGUUUCGUUUUGUUUUCAAACACCAUGCUUACCAUAAAACCCCUUAAUGCAUUUUUUGUUUACUUUUACCACUGUCACAGAAACAUCCACAAGAUUCCCAGCUAGAUUGGGGGUGGGGAAGACACACACACACACACACACACACACACACACACACACACACACACAGAGGCAAGCCCGUGUUCAAGGUGACAAUGAUUUAAAUGUGCCAUUUCCCGAGUUGACAUUGCCACACCGUAGAGAGUUUAGCAACACAGUAUGCUUAGUCAGUCCAGGAAUCCUUGAGGAAGCAGAAAGAUUUCCACUCAAACUGCCAAUGACCAGGAAGGGUAACGUUUGAAACACAAUCGGGUGUGGAUUGGUGCUACUUUAAACAAAAGGUCCCACUGUGGUCUCUCCUUAAAUAUUGUAUGAUUUACAAGUCUGUCCAACACUAAUUUAUUUUGUCAUGAGUUUUACAAUGAGGUGAGACUGUGGAUCGUGUCUGCCAGAAUUCACUAAAGCCGAAGCUUUGUAAGCCACCGUGCUCUUCUAAUUGGCACAUUUGCAGCUUGUUACAACUUGUGGGAUAGCAUGCAAUGUGGAUUUCCAGCAUGUUCAAGUGAAAGAUGUGGGCACCACAUACAAUUGUGAAGAAAACACAUUGUCUUAAGAGUUAUAACUGUAUGAAACCUUGUACAAUGAUAUGGAAUAAAUGCACAUUGUAGGACAUUUUCUAAAAAAAAAA